AAAGUUUUAAGAUUGGUUUUAGAUAAAUUACAUUUUGGAGAUGUUCCAUUCUUUAAUCUAUAACUUGGUCUGUUGAAAAAUAUUACUUCAGGCUAUACAUACGGGGUGUAUAGGACAGAUCUUUAUCUUUGAAGUAACUUUGCCGGUUAUGAUUUUUCAGGAAGUUGAAACAGAGCAGUAUUACAGUUUUUUUCUGGUAGAACUGAAAGAACGUGGCUAUAAUGGAUUCUUUAGUCCAAAGUCUCGAGCUCGGACUAUGUCUGAACAAGAACGAAAGCAUGUUGAUGGCUGUGCAAUAUUCUUCAAGACGGAAAAGUAAGCCUAAGCUGAUUUCUUAAAAAGUAGGAUAAUGUCCUCAGUAUUUGCAGGGUGGGGCUAAGGGUGUAGCAAUUUAUUGAUAAAUAAGAG
rnacentral:lncRNA from 1 species